UACGUAGGGGGCAAGCGUUGUCCGGAAUUAUUGGGCGUAAAGAGCGUGUAGGCGGUCCGGUAAGUCAGCUGUGAAAGUCAAGGGCUCAACCCUUGAAAGCCGGUUGAUACUGUCGGGCUAGAGUCCGGAAGAGGCGAGUGGAAUUCCCGGUGUAGCGGUGAAAUGCGUAGAUAUCGGGAGGAAUACCUAUGGCGAAAGCAGGUUUCUGGGCCGUCACUGACGCUGAGCUGCGAAAGCUAGGGGAGCAAACAGG
rnacentral:rRNA from 1 species